AAAGAGGAACUUAUAACAAUAUUAAUGACUUCCCAAGUAUUAAUGCUACAAAGCAAUAGACUUAUUAUAUGCUGCUUCUGUUGACCACUUAUUAACCAUUCUGCACAUGGCUACAAGAAAGGAAAUAGCUCAUAAUGCUUGCUUGCCCUAUUAGAACAUCUUGUCCUCUUUUUAAGUUUAUUUUUAUUUCUUUGGGUUUGGAGUUAUACUCUCUCCUCCACUUGCUAGCGCUGAUCCUAGUUUCUUUAAGCAGACAAAAACAGAAGUGAAUAUUUUUCAGGAUAUCUGCUUUGUGAUAUCAAAAUCACAGCAUGACAGUAGAGAGCACUGCCACCAUUCAACUUCUCUAGAAUGGUCUAUAGUUGACCAAGUCCAAAGCACAUGAUUGAUUACAAAUACUACUCAUGCUAUAUUUUGACAGCUUAUAUUUCCAGAGAACUUCAUUUUCAGGUGUGAAAGACAGGUUUGACCUUCAUUUGGUUCUGUCAGGAGCAGUUUGUUUUCAAACACUAUCCAGAGUUAAUGAGGAAAAUAUUGAAAUUGAGUUUCAAAACAUGGAAAAGUAAUUUACUAUGGUAAUUUUUGGUACACCUCUGUAUAUCUCUGUUGAAUUAUUUCUUGCUUUGGAUAAUGUCCACUCUCUUGAUGUUCAGUAAUAACAGAAGCAACAGCAUAAUCAAACUAGCCAACGGCCAGAGACAAGUUUAUUAUUUUCCUCACCCAUAGCUAAAAUGAGUACAAAACUAAAAGUGAAAUAAUAAUAAUGAUAAUAAUACAAAACUUGCCUUUCAGUCACCACUGGCCUCCCCUAAAUCCUGCCAAAAUAGUAAUAAAGAAAACAUUCCUAGCUAAACUAAGAAUCUUGCUUUGGGAAAUGAUUGCCAUUUUGUCUAUUUUGUCUUCAGCAAGGACACUGGCUACCAACAUAAACAGGUCAGCAAUUGUCUGACACAGUUACAGAAUAGUCACUAUCCCUUGUUGGAACAUCAUAGUUAAACACUUUCUUUCAUCAUCUCCUCCUCUCACCUGGCCCAGCCUAAAUCCAGGGGGAUUAAGACAGGGCAAAAUAAGAACAAAAAUCAGCCACAGUGAAGACCCUAGAGAGUUUUUCUCCUGUAAGUGCAGUGGAAGUUCAGGCUCCAAAAAGCCACCUAGGAAGCUGACCCAUGGCCAACUUAAGACCCACACCCCUCAAGACCCAGCAGUAAUGUACCGGAGGACUUAGCCAAAAGCAACAUGGUAGGAGCCGUGCCAGGAGAGGAGCAGAGGGGUGAGAAGAGAGCACCUCAGAGUGAAAGUAUGGCUUCUGAUGCCUCAUCUGACGAUUCACAGGCUCAUCUCUAAUGCUACUUCAUGCAGGAAGCUUUCCAAGCCUGGAAGAACUAAAUUUGGUUUCUCCCAUCAUCUGGAAAGAGUCACCUCUCUGACUCCCGUCCUGACCCAGCAGAGGAUAUUCACAUUGUUUCUUUAAACAAAAAUAAAUAAAUACAGAAAACCAGAAUCAAAACUUCAAACCAA